rnacentral:tRNA from 1 species
GAGAUGUUAGUAAAGCAAUUACGUAGCCUUGUCAAGACUAAAUCGCAGGUGAAACCCCCGUACAUCUCA